UACGUAGGGGGCAAGCGUUGUCCGGAAUCACUGGGCGUAAAGCGCGCGCAGGCGGUCAUCUACGUCUGGGGUGAAAGCCCGGAGCUCAACUCCGGGAUUGCCUUGGAUACGGGAUGACUUGAGGAUCGGAGAGGCAAGGGGAAUUCCCGGUGUAGCAGUGAAAUGCGUAGAGAUCGGGAGGAACACCAGUGGCGAAGGCGGCUACCUGGACCAGCACUGACACUGAGGCACGAAAGCGUGGGGAGCAAACAGG
rnacentral:rRNA from 1 species